AAAUCUUAUAGAAUGUUACGGUAAAGUGUAGUAUUUGUUUUUAUCAGUUUAAUAUCUGAUAUGUGGGUCAUCGACCCCACUUGAUAUUAGUUUUAUUGUUUUACGGGAGAACAUUCAUUAUCUUAGCUUGGUGAUGUGGUUCUUUAGCAUCAUCCUGAGUUUCCACUACUUUUGCUACAGCUUACGCACUGCUC